AUUGAACGCUGGCGGCAUGCCUUACACAUGCAAGUCGAACGGUAACAGGUCUUCGGAUGCUGACGAGUGGCGAACGGGUGAGUAAUACAUCGGAACGUGCCCAGUAAUGGGGGAUAGCUCGGCGAAAGCCGGAUUAAUACCGCAUACGCCCUGAGGGGGAAAGUGGGGACCGCAAGGCCUCACGUUAUUGGAGCGGCCGAUGGCUGAUUAGCUAGUUGGUAGGGUAAAGGCCUACCAAGGCGACGAUCAGUAGCUGGUCUGAGAGGACGAUCAGCCACACUGGGACUGAGACACGGCCCAGACUCCUACGGGAGGCAG
rnacentral:rRNA from 1 species